CCUACGGGUGGCUGCAGUGGGGAAUCUUGCACAAUGGGCGAAAGCCUGAUGCAGCAAUGCCGCGUGAGUGAUGAAGGCCUUCGGGUUGUAAAUCUCUGUCGGCUGGGACAAACGGAUCUAUGGCUAAUAUCCAUAGGUAGUGAUGGUACCAGCAAAGGAAGAGGCGGCUAACUCUGUGCCAGCAGCCGCGGUAAUACAGAGGCCUCGAGCGUUGUUCGGAAUUACUGGGCGUAAAGGGAAUGUAGGUGGUCACGUAAGUCAGAUGUGAAAGCCCU
rnacentral:rRNA from 1 species